AAGAAAAACAGAAAAUAAAAGAAACAUGGCCGGAAGAAAGACAUGGAUGGGCAUCCAUGCAGCUCUGAUGACGAUUCUCCUUACAGCUCCGGCUGCCAUGGCGGGUGGUAACACCGUCAUACCAGCCGACAAAUCCGGAGUCAACAAGUGGUUCAAUGACAUUGUGAAUCAAAAGUCCGGACUUGACUCUCAGCUUACCAAGGCGGAGCAGGGUACCAAAGUUGUCAAGGUCAUGCAAAAUGGAGGAGGAAACUUCAAGACAAUCACGGAUGCCGUUAAAAGCGUUCCGAACGGGAACACUAACCGUGUGAUUAUAUACAUUGGAGGGGGUACUUACAACGAGAAGAUAACAAUUCCAAGAGAGAAACCAUUUAUCACAUUUUUUGGGGAUCCCAAAAACAUGCCGAAAUUGACAUUUAAUGGUGAUAACAAAAAAUAUGGGACGGUUUACAGUGCUACAUUGGCGGUGGAAUCCGAUUACUUCAUAGGAGUUAACUUGAAUAUCAUUAAUUCAUCACCGAGGCCGGAUGCGUCAAGAACGGGCGCACAAGCAGUUGCCUUGAGGGUGUCCGGUACCAAAGCCGCAUUGUACAAUUGCAAAAUGUACGGGUUCCAGGACACCGUUUGUGAUGAUAAAGGCUACCAUCUCUUCAAGGACUGCUAUAUUGAAGGAACUGUAGAUUUCAUCUUCGGAAGCGGAAAGUCCAUCUAUUUGAACACAGAUCUACGUGUGUUGGGCGACAACGGAAUGACGGUGAUAACGGCACAGGCAAGAGAUGGUAAAACAGAGGACACCGGAUACUCAUUUGUACACUGCAACAUUACCGGAACCGGCAAGGGCACGUUUUUGGGCAGGGCAUGGAGGGCUAGCCCCCAGGUGGUGUAUGCCUACACCGCCAUAGGAGAUGUUAUUGCUCCAGAAGGAUGGACCGACAAUAGGCACCCCGAAUACGAUAGGUCUGUAAAUUUUGGAGAGUACAAGAAUAUGGGACCAGGAUCAAGCAUGAGUAAGAGAGUGAAGUUCACAAAGCAGCUGAGCGAUGCAGAUGCAAACCUUUCAUCAGCCUCGACUUCAUUCAGGGUACCAAAUGGUUGCUUCCUAUUCCAAAUCCAAAGGUGUAA